AUAGUACUCCAGCAAAAGCAGCUGAACUUGUAACAGUCACCAGCUGGCACACAUUGAAAUAGCUCAGCCUCAUUCUCCAGCUGAGAUCCAGCACAGCUGAUCUUGGUGUAGGGCAUAAAUCUGCAUAGAGCUCACAUGUGGCCCUUCUAUGCUGGGGGUAGAUGUACUCGAUCCUCUGGGCUUGGGAAGGUCUUGGCAAAUGUGGAUUUUUCUCCUUUUGCAGAGGCUUUUGGAGGUUCUGAAAAACCAGACAACAUCAGCUGCUGCACCUUUUGCCCCCUACAGGACACAGACACUGUCCAGGGCAAAGUGCAGCUGGAGCCUAGAGAAGGAUGCGCCUUCACCAGGGCAUUUACCAGCGCUGCUCAGAGCUUCAGCAAGACGGAAAAGCCCCCUGCAAAGCAAACCAAGGGCUGCCGUGGAGAAGAGAGAAGCAGCACGUCCUGGAUGGAUCUGUCACAUGCCUUCCUGCCUCGAGGCCCCCAGGUUGUGAGGGUACGUCCCUCCCUGCAGGCUGAAUUCUUCCCUCUGGAGCACAGGGAGGUUCACAGUAGGGUUGCAAGAGAUGUGAGCCCGGUGUCAGGUCACCAUGACACAGUGUCAGACAACACAGACCUCGUCUUGUUCCAUGAGUCCCCGUAAAACAAUGCCUCCAGCCCCUGAGAUUUAUUAUUGAGGGUUAUUAAUUCCUCAGGUUGUGAAAAUACAGGAUAACAAACAGAUUCUGGCAUACUUUGCUCAUUUUUUUCUCUCUCCUUCCUAUUCCCUCCCUGUUUGCGUGAUUCCUGAGCAUGAUAAUGUAGUUUAAACACGAAUCCUAAAGUUUCAGAAACUUUGGAAGUCAUGGACAACUCCAUGUGCAGUCUGGAUCCUGGGAGAACUGCCUUCAGAGCCUUGUCCAUAAACUCUGUGUGUGGUCUCCGUGAAGUCAUUGGAAGUCCAGAUUUUUCCACCUAACUCAACUGCCUGAGUUAGGGGCCAAAGAUGAGAUUUGCUGCAACUCUCUUGAGCAGUUGAAAAGUGAGGUGACGAGGCAGGAUGGCCAACCACCGAGUGGCUCCAGAGAGAGACCCAGGUCUGUGGCGGCGUAAAUCACACCUUGGUGCUCACUAGCGGUACAGAGGGUAUAAGUUACCUCUUAUUCCUUCCCUAGCUAAUUUGGAGAAGAGUCCCAAUCUGGUAGGAUCUCAUAGGUAGGGGAGAUCUAUCCGGGUCUUAGAAACAAGUGCCAGGCUACGUUCUCAAGACCCCUGGACUGGCUCCAGGAGCAAAUUAUUAUCAGUCCCCAUGGCAUAGUGCUCGGCUGUAGUGUUUCCAGUCUGCUCGCUAUGACAGAGCCCUCUGUGAUGCAACAGGAACAAAAAACUCAGCUUCCUCCUGGCAUUUAGAAAGAGGUUAUAUGCUUUUAAGGACAGUGUCGAAAAGUUCUGAUAAAGAAAGAAGCUCAGAAGACGCGCCUUCCCCGCCCCGCGGGCCGCCGCCAUUUACCUCAUAUCAGGUGAGGCGGGCCGAGGGGGAGCGGCCUGGCCGCGGGGAGGCAGUGCUGGCCUGCCGCCUGUUGCCCUGUGGGAGCCGCGGCUGAGCCUCCGGGCUUUUCCGUGUUAAAAGCAGGAGUUAAAGCGUUUUAAAGAAUUGCGGUGUG
ensembl:lncRNA